rnacentral:rRNA from 1 species
AUUGAACGCUGGCGGCAUGCCUUACACAUGCAAGUCGAACGGCAGCGCGGGAGCAAUCCUGGCGGCGAGUGGCGAACGGGUGAGUAAUACAUCGGAACGUGCCCAAUCGUGGGGGAUAACGCAGCGAAAGCUGUGCUAAUACCGCAUACGAUCUACGGAUGAAAGCAGGGGAUCGCAAGACCUUGCGCGAAUGGAGCGGCCGAUGGCAGAUUAGGUAGUUGGUGAGGUAAAGGCUCACCAAGCCUUCGAUCUGUAGCUGGUCUGAGAGGACGACCAGCCACACUGAGACUGAGACACGGCCCAGACUCCUACGGGAGGCAGCAGUGGGGAAUUUUGGACAAUGGGCGAAAGCCUGAUCCAGCCAUGCCGCGUGCAGGAUGAAGGCCUUCGGGUUGUAAACUGCUUUUGUACGGAACGAAACGGUCUUUUCUAAUAAAGAAGGCUAAUGACGGUACCGUAAGAAUAAGCACCGGCUAACUACGUG